rnacentral:misc_RNA from 1 species
GAUGAAGAACGUAGCGAAAUGCGAUACGUAAUGUGAAUUGCAAAUUCAGUGAAUCAUCGAGUCUUUGAACGCACAUUGCGCCCCCUGGUAUUCCGGGGGGCAUGCCUGUCCGAGCGUCAUUGCUGCCCUCAAGCACGGCUUGUGUGUUGGGCCCCGUCCUCCGAUCCCGGGGGACGGGCCCGAAAGGCAGCGGCGGCACCGCGUCCGGUCCUCGAGCGUAUGGGGCUUUGUCACCCGCUCUGUAGGCCCGGCCGGCGCUUGCCGAUCAACCCAAAUUUUUUAUCCAGGUUGACCUCGGAUCAGGUAGGGAUACCCGCUGAACUUAAGCAUAUCAUAAGCGGAGGA